AGGAGAAGAAAGAGUAGACCUAUUUCCGGGGAUGAAGAAAGCAAUUGGAGAGGCUGGUGGAUGGAAGAUAACUGAAAGGAAACAAAGGCAUGCAGGAAA